rnacentral:lncRNA from 1 species
CCUCUACCUUCUGCGGAAGAGAAAGAACAGCGUACUCCCAGAAUCCACCACACAUGCCCCUCUCCACCUCUAGCCUCGUUUUUCUCUAAUCAGGUCACAGUCCUGGCCCUGACCAAUCACAGUGGCCUGGGGGAUUGUGGUGCUCUCAUUGGCCAGGCCUGGUCACGUGGUCACCCCCAAAGCUGGAGGAGCGGGACAACUCCGCCCGACCCACGUGGGCUGACAGUAGGGCGGCGGCGCUUCCUCCCAAGAAGAAGGGAGAACAGAUGUUGGGCAGGUGCCGAGGCCAGAUGUGCCCUGAGCCCCGAAGCUUGUGAUGGAGGCAGGACUCCCGUGGAUGUCGCUGGGGCGGCGGGUUCAGGAUGGCCCCGAGCAGGGAAGACAGAGACCAGGGGCACAGUACUAUGGGGCUCCCCUCGAGGGUGGAGGGGACCUGGCUGAGGGCUCUGCGGGGACCCAGAGGCAGCGUGGCAUGAAUGGUCUACAUGCCCCGGGUGUGAAUUCUCGCUCUGCCACUUACCAGGUAUUAGCUAACCUCUCUGUGCCUUCAUCUCCCCACUUGUGGAAUGACUGCACCUGCGUUGUCGUGGUCGAACCUGCAAACAAUCCACGAGGAAGCCGGUCACAAAGGACCACGGGUUACCUGAUUCCAUUUGCGUGAGAUGUCCAGAAUGGCAAAGUUAUAGAGACAGAAGAAAACGUUUGCCGACCUCUGAUGCGGGCCGUCCUCUCCUCACCCUUAAGAUGGGUCAACGAAAUCGCAACUUGCUUCAUAGAGACUGUAAGGAUUACGGAACAGAAUGAACAUAAAAACGG